rnacentral:rRNA from 1 species
GACGAACGCUGGCGGCGUGCUUAACACAUGCAAGUCGAGCGGUAAGGCCCUUUCGGGGGUACACGAGCGGCGAACGGGUGAGUAACACGUGGGUGACCUGCCCUCAGCUCUGGGAUAAGCCUGGGAAACCGGGUCUAAUACUGGAUAUGACCCCAUGACGCAUGUUGUGGGGUGGAAAGCCUUGUGCGGCUGAGGAUGGGCCCGCGGCCUAUCAGCUUGUUGGUGGGGUGANGGCCUACCAAGGCGACGACGGGUAGCCGGCCUGAGAGGCGACCGGCCACACUGGGACUGAGACACGGCCCAGACUCCUACGGGAGGCAGCAGUGGGGAAUCUUGCGCAAUGGGCGAAAGCCUGACGCAGCGACGCCGCGUGAGGGAUGACGGCCUCGGUU